CGAACGCUGGCGGCGUGCUUAACACAUGCAAGUCGAACGGAAAGGCCCCUUUGGGGGUACUCGAGUGGCGAACGGGUGAGUAACACGUGAGUAACCUGCCCUUGACUUCGGGAUAACUUCAGGAAACUGGGGCUAAUACCGGAUAGGAAUCCUUGCUGCAUGGUGGGGGUUGGAAAGCUUCGGCGGUUUUGGAUGGACUCGCGGCUUAUCAGCUUGUUGGUGGGGUAGUGGCUUACCAAGGCUUUGACGGGUAGCCGGCCUGAGAGGGCGACCGGCCACAUUGGGACUGAGAUACGGCCCAGACUCCUACGGGAGGCAGCAGUGGGGAAUAUUGCACAAUGGGCGGGAGCCUGAUGCAGCAACGCCGCGUGCGGGAUGACGGCCUUCGGGUUGUAAACCGCUUUCAGCAGGGGCGAAGCUUGUGGUGACGGUACCUGCAGAAGAAGCACCGGCUAACUACGUG
rnacentral:rRNA from 1 species